GAUGAACGCUGGCGGCGUGCUUAACACAUGCAAGUCGAACGGAAAGGCUCCUGCUUGCAGGGGUACUCGAGUGGCGAACGGGUGAGUAACACGUGGGUGAUCUGCCCUGCACUUCGGGAUAAGCCUGGGAAACUGGGUCUAAUACCGGAUAGGACGAUGGUUUGGAUGCCAUUGUGGAAAGUUUUUCGGUGUGGGAUGAGCUCGCGGCCUAUCAGCUUGUUGGUGGGGUAAUGGCCUACCAAGGCGUCGACGGGUAGCCGGCCUGAGAGGGUGUACGGCCACAGUGGGACUGAGAAACGGCCCAGACUCCUACGGGAGGCAGCAGUGGGGAAUAUUGCACAAUGGGCGCAAGCCUGAUGCAGCGACGCCGCGGGGGGGAUGACGGCCUUCGGGUUGUAAACUCCUUUCGCUAGGGACGAAGCGUUUUGUGACGGUACCUGGAGAAGAAGCACCGGCUAACUACGUG
rnacentral:rRNA from 1 species